AAGGCACCCUCUUUAUUGUAUCCCAAAGUUCAGCACAAUUCCACUGUAGUCCACCGAGCAAUGCUGAUGGCAGUGAUCGAAGCUCAAUUCCCACUGCUGUCUGCAAGGCAUUUGUACAGCUCCCCAUGACUGUGUUGGUUUCCUCCCAUAUUCCAAGAACCCACGGUGAGGGUUAGUAAGCUGAGGGCAUCCUAUCUUGGUGCUGAGAGCAUUGUAACACUUGCAGACUGCCCAGCACAACCUUGGACUGUGUUGCUUGUUGAUGCAUUUCAUUAUAUGUUUUGAUGCACAUGAAAUAUGUAACUAAUAUAACUAAUCUUUAAUCUUUUAACAUUGGUAUUAUGGAGACCUUUUACAUGGUUUGGCUUCUCCAAGAAUCUUUUGAAUUAUUAAACCUAUUUUGCGAAAAACCCCAUAUGAAUUCCUGGCAAGGCCCAUUACCUAUCAGCUUUUAUUUCAAGGAUACACUUGAAGGUAUGUAAUAUGAAGAAUGUAUAUUUAUUAUGUUUUAGGCAGAUUUACAUGCUGUUAUUCUGACAGAGUUUUGACAAAAGGUCAUUAAUUUGAAACAUUCUCUCUGCAGAUGCUGUCUGACCUUCUGAAAUUUGCCAAGGUUUAAACUUCAUUGAUUAAAUGAUGACAAAAAUAUUCAGCAGUUAUGAAGUUUAUUAUCAAGAAAAGAACAAAGAAAGAAACAUGUGGUGUCCUACCAAUGUCUGAAUGGUUUACCAGGGUUCUUUUGAAGAGCCUGACCUGGAGUUACACACUGACUUUGGUUCUUUGUGGAAAUGGGACCCACUCUCAGUGUCUCACAACUGGCUGCUAUCUGAUAUGCCAAGGACACAGCCUAGAAGAGUAGCAAGCUUUCAGGGUUCUGGGAUUUCGUGGCUCUGGAGGCAGGUGGACUCAAGCUCAGUGCUGCCACAGAAAACCGGUGUGUCGUGGGAGACGGAAGAUCAAAAACAGUGAGCUGGCUGCUGGCUGUGCCCAGAGACCCGAGUUCUGUGGGUACAGAGAUGGGAAGAAGCGAUGCAAGACUUCUAACACCAUAAAUCAGCGAGUUGUUUUGCUAUGAAUCCCCUCUCACUGUGAAACAGGGACACCGCUUUUUCCCUUAUUAGGGAAAUAGAGAGCCUGUGGUAUGUUGAAUUACUGGGUGAAUGUAUAGCCUUUGGGGAACUGCAAGUCUGUGUCUUUAUUGAUGCUUUGCUGCAUGCUUGAGUGCUCGGUGGGGGUGCG